rnacentral:rRNA from 1 species
AUUUAUUACCCUUGUCUUUUGCGCACUUGUUGUUUCCUGGGCGGGUUCGCUCGCCACCAGGACCACAAUAUAAACCUUUUUUAUGCAGUUGCAAUCAGCGUCAGUAUAACAAACGUAAAUCAUUUACAACUUUCAACAACGGAUCUCUUGGUUCUGGCAUCGAUGAAGAACGCAGCGAAAUGCGAUACGUAGUGUGAAUUGCAGAAUUCAGUGAAUCAUCGAAUCUUUGAACGCACAUUGCGCCCUUUGGUAUUCCAAAGGGCAUGCCUGUUCGAGCGUCAUUUGUACCCUCAAGCUUUGCUUGGUGUUGGGCGUUUUUGUCCCCCCCAAAAGGGGGACUCGCCUUAAAAGGAUUGGCAGCCGGCCUACUGGUUUCGCAGCGCAGCACAUUUUUGCGCUUGCAAUCAGCAAAAGAGGACGGCAAUCCAUCAAGACUCCUUCUCACGUUUGACCUCGGAUCAGGUAGGGAUA